CCUACGGGUGGCAGCAGUGGGGGAUAUUGCACAAUGGGGGGAACCCUGAUGCAGCGACGCCGCGUGGGUGAAGAAGCGCCUCGGCGCGUAAAGCCCUGUCAGCAGGGAAGAAAGUGAAGGUACCUGAAGAAGAAGCCACGGCUAACUACGUGCCAGCAGCCGCGGUAAUACGGAGGGGGCAAGCGUGAGCCGGAUUUACUGGUGGUAACGGGUGCGCAGACGGCGAGGCAAGCCAGGCGUGAAAGCCCGGGGCCCAACCCCGGGACUGCUCUUGGAACUGCGUGGCUGGAGUGCAGGAGGGGCAGGCGGAAUUCCUGGUGUAGCGGUGAAAUGCGGAGAUAUCAGGAGGAACAGCGGUGGCGAAGGCGGCCUGCUGGACUGCAACUGACGUUGAGGCGCGAAAGCGUGGGGAGCAAACAGGAUUAGAUACCCUUGUAGUC
rnacentral:rRNA from 1 species